rnacentral:lncRNA from 1 species
GAGAGAUCUGAGGAGAAGAGGGAGAACCAAAAUGGAGGCUGACGUGGUGUUAUCAAAGUGGAGUGACCAGGGCUGACAGGUAUUCUGACAUCUGCUCCCUGAGAGGUGACGUGGGAAGUCCUGCACUGUGAGUCCAUUGAGUAGGACACACCCAGGCCUCUUCUUUUCUCCAGGAUAUGUGCAAGAUGAGAGCCAGCCAUCGUCUCCUGAUAGUGGAGAUUUGAUCUGAAGCAUUCAAAUAGGAAAUGAAUGCUCAGAGGAAGCUUCAAAUUUCUUUCUACUUGAAGAAGCUGAAUUGCAGAAGCUAUCUCUGUCCUGUUAAUCACCGGGUCCACAGUGAAACCAGCCAACUUCAGAGAGUGAGUUAAAAGAGAGACUCUUGUGCUGCGUGACCCCUGACUGUAACCAAGUGUCCUUCUCUCUGAGACGUUCCCUCGGAGCUUGUUCUCACAGCCCUCACCUCCAGUGACCUCCACGAACUUUUCCACACGAGGGGUUCUCUGCUUCCCUCCAUCUGAGCUGCGCAAUUCCACCAGGCCUUUUGCUCCUCUUCAGUCAGGUGCUUUGGAGGUAAUGAAGUCUUUCGGGGGAAAAAUAAACAAAGGAAAUGCACCCGGUUGAUGUCAAUGGACUUGUUUAACUAUUUAAGG